UACAGAGGGGGCAAGCGUUGUUCGGAAUUACUGGGCGUAAAGCGUGCGUAGACGGUUUCGUAAGUCGGGUGUGAAAGCCCCGGGCUCAACCUGGGAAUUGCAUUCGAGACUGCGUAGCUAGGGUGCGGAAGAGGGAAGCGGAAUUUCCGGUGUAGCGGUGAAAUGCGUAGAUAUCGGAAGGAACAUCAGUGGCGAAAGCGGCUUCCUGGUCCAGCACCGACGUUCAGGCACGAAAGCGUGGGGAGCAAACAGG
rnacentral:rRNA from 1 species